UUGGGUGGAGCACGUGAGGAUUUGGUCGACAUGUUCAUCAUCCACACGAUGGAAGAAAUCCAGGGCUUGUUGGAGGCUCACGAAGAGUUCAAAGCCACGCUUGGCGAGGCGGAUAAGGAAUACCAAUCGAUCAGUCGGUCUGGUUCAACAAGUCGAGUCGUUUGCUAGCCAGCACAGCAUCCCCGGCGGCUUGGACAAUCCAUACACCAGUCUUACGGCCAAGGACAUAACUUCCAAAUGGGCGGAAGUCCGUCUGUUGGUUCCUCAAAGGGACGGCACUCUGGAGGCCGUCCCGGCUUCGUAAACAACAGAACAAUGAGCUUAUGCGCCGCCAGUUUGCCGAAAAGGCUAACUCGGAUGGACCAUGGAUUGAGUGCCAAAUGGACGCCGUGGCUUUGAUCGCAAUGGGAAUGCAGGGAUCAUUGGAGAAUCAGUUGGUCCGCUUGAAAGAAUAGGAGCAGAACGUCUACGCCUACAAGUCGCACAUGGAAGAGUUGGAGAAGCUCAACCAGGGCAUUCAAGAAUCGAUGGUGUUU